rnacentral:tRNA from 2 species
ACUUGCAUAAUAUAAAUAAUUAUAUUUGACUUCCAAUUAAAAAAUCUAGAAAUAGUGCAAGUA